CGCUGCUGGGUUGGGGUCUCGCCGUCUCCUACCCACCCUGGACCAAGACAAGGCCCCAGGUUCCAGUGGGUGAACCUCUCUUCCUUCCAGAGAGCAAAGCAGGAACAGGAACAAGCUCUUAUAAAAACUCAGUGAAGCUAAGGGAGUAUAAAGAGUAUAGCAAUCCCUGUAGUGAUUAUAGCUGUCCCCUCCAAACACGAGUCAAGGCUGUGAGUUGAUGGUGAAGUAGGACUGGUUUAAUGAGCCACAAAGGCAUUUCUUAUAUACAGUUUUCCCCACAAGGUUACCACCCACGUGGACCUUGUGGAGCACAGGACACAAAGUCACAACAGCCAAUCAACACAGUAUUGUACAGUUAGACACUCCCAGCUAAUGUACACAAACCCUCCCCUCUGCCUGUGAUAUAAUUACCAGACACAAUGGACUAACUUGAAUACCACAGGUAAAAAAUAUCCAGUUUUACCCAAAGUCCAGAAACACCCCAAACAACAACAUAUCAACAACAGAGUUAGGCUGUGCGGCCGAUCUAUCUUCUCCUUCCCAAAAUGUAUAAAUUGCACGAAUGGAUCAGUUCGUGCAGUACUUCAUUGGAAGCAUCUCCCAGCUGCCUCCUCUCCCUGCAAGGGCAGUUCAUCACAGAGGGCAACGCUAGCAUUCGUGCAGCGCCCCUGGAAGCAGAGGUGUCCAUUGACUUGGAGCAGGCAAGUAUGGCAUACUCUGACUCUUGCAAAGAUUUUCUGGCCGAGGUGAAGCAGCAAGUGGCUUGGAAUGGCCCUGAUGUGUCCGUAGAUACCUUCCAGGCGAUCUGGAACCAGGUAACCGUCGAAAGACAAGCGAAGAGGGACCAAGAGUUCCUGCUGGCUAAAGUGAGGAAAAGAAGCCUCCAAUGAAAGGAGGUUAGCCGCUCUCCCCAGAGGCAGCCGGAGGUACCCGAAGUAGGGAGGGGAGGAACCCCAACAGGCAAGUGGAGAUGGGACCGAAGUCUCUCCACUGGCCCCACAGGGAUGCUGUGCAGCUGGAAGUCGGAGCUACUGGGAGAGGCAGCCAAAGCUACUGGGAGAGGAGGCAAGUGGUCCUUAUUCCCAAGUCCUGGGGGAGCUCAUAGACUGGCACUGGGAGGAACCUGAAAUGGCAGGUGGAGAUGGGACUAGGUCUCUCUACUGGCCCUACAGGGAUGCUGGGCAGCCGGCCCAGAUCCCCUGUGGCACCUGGCCUCUCUCCGCAGUGGCAGUGUAAACUGCAGGGAGAGGAAGUAGCCGGCCUCUCUCCCAAGCAGCAGUGUAAACUGCAGGGAGAGGAGGCAACCGGCCUCUCUCCCCAGCGGCAGCGUAUCCUACAGGGAAUGGAGACAAGCGGUCUCUCUCCCCAGCGGCAGUGUAAAUUGCAGGGAGAGGAGGCAGCCGGCCUCUCUCCCCAAUGGUAGUGUGAGUUUCACGGGGAGGAGGCGAUCAGCCUCUCUCCCCAGUAGCAGUGUGAGUUUCAGGGAGAGGAGACAACCGUUCUCUAUCCCCAGCUGACCCCAACAGUGCAGAUGGGACCACAGUCUCUGUACUGGAUCUACAGGGAUGCUGGAUGGCCUGUCCAGAUCCCCAACUAACCUCGCAGGGAUACCAGGAGGAGGUAAGCGAUGUUUCCCUUGCACAGCUAAUUUCCAGCCGGGCUCUGGGGUUAGUGGAUGGAACUACCAUAUCCACUGACUCCCUUAAAGCAGAAGAGCUGGCAUCAGGGCAGAGCGCUGCUGGCCUCUGCCCUCUCCUUUGUCUUUGCACAGGGCCUGACUACCUGCAGGAGUCACCAGGUCCAGUCAUUGCUUUUUGUGGGUGGGCUACUCG